CAGGUCUGCAACCGGAAAAUCACAGUCCUCAAUUCUCACACAGAUGCAGGCCUGGUGUGGUGCCUGGAAGGCUCAACUGCCUCCAGCUGUGACCCCAAGAAGGCAAAGCACCCGGGUGGGGUGGAAGGAGCAGCCCCGUGCUCUGCUGGCUGACAGUGGUGCCCAGGCCCAGCUCCCUUCUCUGCACAGACAGCAGAGUUCCGCUUAGCACAGGCUUUUCCUUGCCAGCGCAGACGCUGUCAGCCAUUGGAACUGGCCUGCAAGACAGCUUGCUGUGGCGGCUUUGCAGGCACA
rnacentral:lncRNA from 1 species